UACAGAGGCCUCGAGCGUUAAUCGGAAUCACUGGGCUUAAAGGGUGCGUAGGCGGCGCUGCAAGUGCCUUGUGAAAUCCCAUGGCUUAACCAUGGAACUGCUCGGUAGACUGCAGCGCUUGAGGUUGGUAGGGGCUGCCGGAACUCUAGGUGGAGCGGUGAAAUGCGUAGAUAUCUAGAGGAACGCCCAAGGCGAAGGCAGGCAGCUGGGCCAAUUCUGACGCUGAGGCACGAAAGCGUGGGGAGCAAACGGG
rnacentral:rRNA from 1 species